UGGCUGAGUCUCACUCUCACGCGGUGGUCCACGUGAAGUGCACUCAAAUCUUUACCUCCAGAGAAACCCUUCACACGGCUCUCUGAUCGAGGUAAGGUAUAUCUGAUUCUGUGCCCCCUCUCUUAGGCUGGUCCACAGAACCUCCACUGCAGGGAUUAUGGAUUAUUUUAUCUACCACCUGAUUUAUAAAAUCUUUAUCCGCAUGACAUGGCAAUUUAUCACAAUCUAGCCUCUCAAGGCUGAAUACAUAGUAUAUAUAAUUUUGAUACAAAUACUGACUUUUACAUUCAUACUCACAUAUUGCUAUAAGCCAUAUAAUUUAAAACACAAUUUAUAACACAAGCAAACAGUCUCCAAUUACUCUAUUUUCAAAACCAGUAUUCAAUUUUUCAGAAAAUUUAUAAAAUCAUUUUAUUUAAACACGUUUUGUUUGUAAAACAAAAAGAUUUACCAUUUAAACUCAUUUUCUAUAAAAUCACAUAAUUGUAUAAAACUACUCUAGAUAAUUAAGACGAUAAUAAGUUUACUCACAGUUCUAGGAGUCGAUGUACUCCUAAUCCCAGUCUUCAAGCACAAUCUCUGUACUUUUACAAGUGUAAUUU
rnacentral:lncRNA from 1 species